rnacentral:rRNA from 1 species
UGAACUUAAGCAUAUCAAUAAGCGGAGGAAAAGAAACCAACAGGGAUUGCCCUAGUAACGGCGAGUGAAGCGGCAACAGCUCAAAUUUGAAAUCUGGCUCUUUUAGAGUCCGAGUUGUAAUUUGCAGAGGGCGCUUUGGCUUUGGCAGCGGUCCAAGUUCCUUGGAACAGGACGUCACAGAGGGUGAGAAUCCCGUACGUGGUCGCUGGCUAUUGCCGUGUAAAGCCCCUUCGACGAGUCGAGUUGUUUGGGAAUGCAGCUCUAAAUGGGAGGUACAUUUCUUCUAAAGCUAAAUAUUGGCCAGAGACCGAUAGCGCACAAGUAGAGUGAUCGAAAGAUGAAAAGCACUUUGGAAAGAGAGUCAAACAGCACGUGAAAUUGUUGAAAGGGAAGCGCUUGCAGCCAGACUUGCUUACAGUUGCUCAUCCGGGUUUCUACCCGGUGCACUCUUCUGUAGGCAGGCCAGCAUCAGUUUGGGCGGUAGGAUAAAGGUCUCUGUCACGUACCUCCUUUCGGGGAGGCCUUAUAGGGGAGACGACAUACUACCAGCCUGGACUGAGGUCCGCGCAUCUGCUAGGAUGCUGGCGUAAUGGCUGUAAGCGGCCCGUCUUGAAACACGGACCAAGGAGUCUAACAUCUAUGCGAGUGUUUGGGUGUCAAGCCCGAGCGCGUAAUGAAAGUGAACGGAGGUGGGAACCCGCAAGGGUGCACCAUCGACCGAUCCUGAUGUCUUCGGAAGGAUUUGAGUAAGAGCAUGGCUGUUGGGACCCGAAAGAUGGUGAACUAUGCUUGAAUAGGGUGAAGCCAGAGGAAACUCUGGUGGAGGCUCGCAGCGGUUCUGACGUGCAAAUCGAUCGUCAAAUUUGGGCAUAGGGGCGAAAGACUAAUCGAACUAUCUAGUAGCUGG